rnacentral:rRNA from 1 species
AGUGAACGCUGGCGGUAGGCCUAACACAUGCAAGUCGAACGGCAGCACAGUAAGAGCUUGCUCUUACGGGUGGCGAGUGGCGGACGGGUGAGGAAUACAUCGGAAUCUACUUUUUCGUGGGGGAUAACGUAGGGAAACUUACGCUAAUACCGCAUACGACCUACGGGUGAAAGCAGGGGAUCUUCGGACCUUUCGCGAUUGAAUGAGCCGAUGUCGGAUUUGCUAGUUGGCGGGGAAAAGGCCCAACAAGGCGACGAUCCGUAGCUGGUCUUAGAGGAUGAUCAGCCACACUGAAACUGAAACACGGUCCAGACUCCUACGGGAGGCAGCAGUGGGGAAUAUUAGACAAUGGUCGCAAUCCGGAUCCAGCCAUACCGCGUGGGUGAAGAAGGCCUUCGGGUUGUAAAGCCCUUUUGUUGGGAAAGAAAAGCAGCAGGUUAAUACCCCGCUGUUCUGACGGUACCCAAAGAAUAAGCACCGGCUAACUUCGUG